AGGACGAACGCUGGCGGCGCGCCUAAAACAUGCAAGUCGAACGAGAAACCCGGGCUUGCCCGGGUGGACAGUGGCGAACGGGUGAGUAACACGUGAGGAACCUGCCCCGAAGACCGGGACAACACCGGGAAACCGGUGCUAAUACCGGAUACCUUCACCGGAUCGCAUGGUCUGGUGAAGAAAUGGAUUCCGCUUCGGGAUGGCCUCGCGGCCUAUCAGCUAGUUGGUGAGGUAACGGCUCACCAAGGCGACGACGGGUAGCUGGUCUGAGAGGAUGUCCAGCCACACUGGGACUGAGACACGGCCCAGACUCCUACGGGAGGCAGCAGUUAGGAAUCUUGCGCAAUGGACGAAAGUCUGACGCAGCGACGCCGCGUGCGGGAUGAAGGCCUUCGGGUUGUAAAGUCCGUUUCGGCGGGAAGAUGAUGACGGUACCGCAGAACGAAGCCCCGGCUAACUUCGUGCCAGCAGCCGC
rnacentral:rRNA from 1 species